CGAGAAGAGCAUGCGAGCUGCCUGCUGCCUACUUCCUACUCCUGCUGCUGCUGCUGCUGCUGUUGCAUUCAAAGUUGGGUAGCCAGCCACCCAUGAACGAUGACAAUGCCAGCAGCGGCCACCCAUGGGGAUGGACCCAGGAGUGGAGGAUGACCCAAUAGGAUGAAAGUUCAGCCCACUCACUGACACCAGUGACACAGUAUUGACCAGAUCUCCUGGAAGUGCCUCCUGACGCAGACCCAGUUGUUGGGUAGCCAGCCACACAUGCACGUUGACACAGCCAGCACCGAGCUCCCAGGGGGAUGGACCCAGGAGUGGAGGACGGCCCAAUAGGAUGAAAAAUCAUCCCACUCACUGUUGACACCAAUGAGGGAACAAGAGAGGCUAGGCAACCCCAUCUUUUGACAACGGUCACCACCACCACCUUGG